rnacentral:rRNA from 1 species
AUACGUAGGGGGCGAGCGUUGUCCGGAAUGAUUGGGCGUAAAGGGCGCGUAGGCGGCCCGGUAAGUCUGGAGUGAAAGUCCUGUUUUUAAGAUGGGAAUUGCUUUGGAUACUGUCGGGCUUGAGGGCAGGAGAGGUAAGUGGAAUUCCCAGUGUAGCGGUGAAAUGCGUAGAGAUUGGGAGGAACACCAGUGGCGAAGGCGACUUACUGGACUGUAACUGACGCUGAGGCGCGAAAGUGUGGGGAGCAAACAGGAUUAGAUACCCUGGUAGUCCACACUGUAAACGAUGAAUGCUAGGUGUAGGGGGUAUCGACCCCUUCUGUGCCGCAGUCAACACAAUAAGCAUUCCGCCUGGGGAGUACGGCCGCAAGGUUGAAACUCAAAGGAAUUGACGGGG